UCGAUUUGGAGUUUGUUGCCCUGAGUGAUGGGCUCCGAAGCUAACGCGAUAAAUCGACCGCCUGGGGAGUACGGCCGCAAGGUUAAAACUCAAAUGAAUUGACGGGGGCCCGCACAAGCGGUGGAGCAUGUGGUUUAAUUCGAUGCAACGCGAAGAACCUUACCUGGUCUUGACAUCCACAGAAUCUAGCAGAGAUGCGAGAGUGCCUUCGGGAACUGUGAGACAGGUGCUGCAUGGCUGUCGUCAGCUCGUGUUGUGAAAUGUUGGGUUAAGUCCCGCAACGAGCGCAACCCUUAUCCUUUGUUGCCAGCGGUUCGGCCGGGAACUCAAAGGAGACUGCCGUUGAUAAAGCGGAGGAAGGUGGGGACGACGUCAAGUCAUCAUGGCCCUUACGACCAGGGCUACACACGUGCUACAAUGGCGUAUACAAAGGGAGGCGACCUCGCGAGAGCAAGCGGACCUCACAAAGUACGUCUAAGUCCGGAUUGGAGUCUGCAACUCGACUCCAUGAAGUCGGAAUCGCUAGUAAUCGUGAAUCAGAAUGUCACGGUGAAUACGUUCCCGGGCCU
rnacentral:rRNA from 1 species